GAUGAACGCUGGCGGCGUGCUUAACACAUGCAAGUCGAACGGUGAAGCAGGAGCUUGCUCUUGUGGAUCAGUGGCGAACGGGUGAGUAACACGUGAGCAACCUGCCCCUGACUCUGGGAUAAGCGCUGGAAAUGGCGUCUAAUACUGGAUAUGUGAUGUGACCGCAUGGUCUGCAUCUGGAAAGAAUUUCGGUUGGGGAUGGGCUCGCGGCCUAUCAGCUUGUUGGUGAGGUAAUGGCUCACCAAGGCGUCGACGGGUAGCCGGCCUGAGAGGGUGACCGGCCACACUGGGACUGAGACACGGCCCAGACUCCUACGGGAGGCGGCAGUGGGGAAUAUUGCACAAUGGGCGGAAGCCUGAUGCAGCAACGCCGCGUGAGGGAUGACGGCCUUCGGGUUGUAAACCUCUUUUAGCAGGGAAGAAGCGAAAGUGACGGUACCUGCAGAAAAAGCACCGGCUAACUACGUGCCAGCAGCCGCGGUAA
rnacentral:rRNA from 1 species